AGGUGAUAUAUUUAAAAAUGGUAUAUGUUAUAAAUAUUAACUUAAAGAUCUAGAACUAAUUUUAUAAAAAGAUAAAAAGAUAAAGAUCAAUCUUAACAUGAAAAUGAGAAAAAGAAGCAAAUGGAAUGAAACAUCUAAGUAAUUUGUGAAAGAAAUCAACAGAGAAUAUAUAAGUAAUGGUGAAUGAAAGUAUAAGAAUCAAAGAGUAUAACUUUUAUAAGUUAGAAUAAAGUAGAGAACCAACUACUAAGAUAAAAAAGAUAAAAUUAAGAAUAAAGUACCGUAAGGGAAAAAGAGGAAAUAGGUUAAUAGAGAGCAGUCAUAGAGUAUGAUGUACCUCUUGUAUAAUGGGUCAGUAAGUUAUCAAUUUUAGUGAAAUUAUAUAAAUUAAAUAAAAAUAGAAAUAAAGAAAUUAAAAUAGAUAAACCCGAAAGCAAACGAUCUAUAUAUAUCCAAGUGUAUAAAAAUAAAUACGACUCAAUAGGUAAUUGUAGCAAUAAUUUCUAAAGAGAUGUGUAUAGUAGUGAAAGACAAAUCUGGUUUGCCGAUAGCUGGUUAUCUGCGAAAUAUAUUUUAGUAUAGCCUUUAUAUAAUUAUAAAUUGGUACAGCACUUAAAUAUAUUUGGGGAAUAAUAAAAAUUCUAUCAUUAUAUUUAAAUCUCGGAAUAAAUAAAUAAAAAAUUAUCUCUCUUUUUAUAAAGAAAUAAGAGAUAAUAAUAUAAUAUUAUAAGGAGUCAGACUUAUUGCGAUAAGGUAGUAAGUCAAAAAGGAAACAACCUAGACUAUAAAUUAAAUGUCCCAAAUAAUCUAUUAAGUGAAUAAAAUCUAUAUGUUAUAAAACAUAAUAAGUUUAUAGACAAUUAGUAUGUGGGUUUGAUAAUAAUCAUCAUUUAAUGAACAUGUAACAAUGCACUAAUAUGAUUGACUUAUAAUAGAAAUAAUAUACGGGUCUAAAUAGAUAACAAUAAUAUAGAUAAAUUAUUAAAAUAAUUUAUGGUAGCAGAUUAUAUAAUGAAAAAUUAUAAAGUAAUUGCUGACUUGAGUAACGAUAGAUAAUAAAAAAUUAUCCCUCUAAAUCAUAAGGUUUAACUAUAAACGAACGGUCUCUAAAAUAAAUAAUAGAAAUAUUAAAUUGAUGAGUAAUAGAACAAGUAAAAUAAAUAUUAACCGUACUGUAAACCGACACAGGUAUGAUAAAUUAUAUAUAUAAAUAAAAAUAUAUAUAUAAAGAGGAAUGAGAUAACUACUUUGAAUGAAUUCGGCAAAUAAAGUAAAUAAAAAAAUUGUGCGACUGUUUACCAAAAACAUAGCUUAUUGCCUAUUAGUAAUAAUAAGUAUAAUAAGUGAUAUCUGCCCAGUGCUUGUGAAUAAGAAUAUAAUAAUAAGUAAACGGCGGUCUUAUUGUGAGGAUCCUAAGGUAGCGAAAUUCAUUGACAUAUAAUUGAUGUCCUGCAUGAAUGAAUAAACGAUGCAAUAACUGUAUCCAAAGUAGACUCAGUGAAAUAGCAAUUGCGGUGAAGAUGCCGUAUAUCUGUAGAUUGACAAAAAGACCCUAUGCAGCUUUACUAUAUUUUUACUUUGAUUGAUAUUUAUUAUCUUUAUUUUUAUAUUUCAGUUAAGAUUAGGUAAAAUUUAUAUUAAUUAAUAUUAAUAAUUAAUAUUAAUAAAUAAUUUAAAUAAAAUGAGAUACCUAUAUAUAAAAAUAAUAAAUCUAAUUAAAUAUAAUUAAUUAAAUAAAUUAAUAUAUAAAGACAUAGUAAAAAGGUUAGUUUCGAUGGGGCGUCGACAUCAGAGAAAGCAUCUGAUGUGUCUAAUAAUAAUAAUUAUUUAUUAUAAUUUAUCUCUUUUUAAUUAAAUUAAUGAGAAAUUAUAUAAUAGUAAAUAACGUACUAUAAAUCUAUAUUGUAAAUAGAUAAUAAAAAAAUAAAAUAAGGAUAACAACAUAAUAGUGCGAUGAUAAUAACACUAACAAGUGAAAUUAGUACUUAAGUAGAGUGUAAUGAACAGACAUAAUCAAAUGGUAUGGAUGUCGAUAACGAAUUAAAGUUACGCUAGGGAUAAACUGUAAGUCCCUUUAUAUAGAAAUAUAUAAUACCCAGCGUUAAAGGGUAAUUAAUUUAAAUAAAAUUAAAAUAAUAAAAAAAUUGGGUGAAUUGCAUAAAACUCUUAAAAAAAUAAGACAAUAUGCAGCGAAACUUAUAUUAGCUAUAAAUAUAAUAAAAAUUAUAUAAAUAAAAUAUAAGAACGUUCAACGACUAGUAAAUGAGUAAGCUAACAAUAAUUUUACCAAGAGUGCCCAAUACCUAAAAUUUAUAUAAAUAUAUUAAUAUAAAUUAUGGUAAUGACAUAGUCUGAACUAUACAGUAAUGUAUAGAAAUAUUAUUUAAAAAAUAAUAUAUCUUAUUUUAAGGAUAAAUAUGCCCGCCAAUGGCGGGGGAUAUAAAUUAUAUAUAUAAGAUAAGAGAUAAAUAUCCGCCAAUGGCGGAUAUAUAUUAAAACAUAAUUGAACAGGGUAAUACCGCGAAAGAGUUGAUAUCGUAAGCGGUGUUUGCCACCUCGAUGUCGUCUAAACUCAUCCUCUUAGUUGUAGCAGCUAGGUAGGGUAGGACUGUUCGUCCUCUAAGGAGUUACUUGAGAUGGGUUAAUUACGGCGUGAGCCAGUAAUGAUUUUAUCAUCUAUAGAUUCUUUCCUUCCUUUUAUCUUAUGUGUACGCAAGGAUAUUAAGAUAUUAUCCUAUGGUUAUUUAUGUAUAAAUUUUAUACAUAUAAGCUAAGAUAAUUAAGUUUACAUAUUGAAAGCAUAUAAAAUAUUAAAUCAUUAAGGUAAGGUUUUAACAUUAAAGAUAAUAAUGUAAUAGUAAUUUAAUAAUAAAAAAUAUUUCCUUCAAAUAGGAGGAAAUAGAAAAUAUAAAUACCCUUCUUUUAAGGAGAGUAUUUAUAUAUUAUAAAAUAUAACUAAUUAUUCCUUAAAAAUAAGGUAUUAUAAAUAUAAAAAUAUUUAGAAAUAAAUAACAUAUACUU
rnacentral:rRNA from 1 species